rnacentral:tRNA from 1 species
GCCCGUGUAGCUCAGUUGGUAGAGCACUUUCUUGGUAAGAAAGAGGUCAUGGGUUCGAGUCCCAUCGCGGGCUCCA